GGGUAUCUGUGGGUUAUCUAUGGGGUCUCUAUGGGGUAUCCAUGGGGUAUCCAUGGGGUAUCCAUGGGGUCUCUAUGGGGUAUCUAUAGGAUACCUAUGGGGUCUCUAUGGGGCUCUCCAUGGGAUAUCUGUGGGGUCUCUAUGGGGUCUCUAUGGGGUAUCCAUGGGGCAGCCAUGGGGUACCCAUAGGGUACCUAUGGGGUAUCCAUGGGAUCUCUAUAGGGUACUUAUGGGUUACCUAUGGGGUCUCAAUGGGCACACUAUGGGGUCUCAAUGGGGUCUCUAUGGGGUAUCCAUGGGGCAGCCAUGGGGUAUCCAUGGGGUAUCCAUGGGGGCUCUAUGAGGUAUCCAUGUGGGCUCUAUGGGCACACUAUGGGGUCUCAAUGGGGUCUCUAUGGGGUAUCCAUGGGGUACCUAUGGGGUAUCCAUGGGAUGUCUGUAGGGUACUUAUGGGUUAUCUAUGGGGUAUCCAUGGGUUAUCCAUGGGGUAUCCAUGGGGUAUCCAUGGGGUAUCCAUGUGGGCUCUAUGGGCACACUAUGGGGUCUCUAUGGGGUCUCUAUGGGGUAUCCAUGGUCUCAAAAUGGGGUCAAUGGUGUCUUUGGGGUUAAUGGGGUCAAUACGGUUAAUGGGGGUCAUUGGGGUCAACGGGGGCUCUGGGGCAAUGGCGGUCAUUCGGGUCAAUGGGGAUUAUUGGGGUUAAUGGGGGCAUUGAAGUCAAUGGGGUUAAUGGGGUCAGUGGGGGUAAUUGGAGUCAAUGGGGUCAGUGGGAUUAAUGGGGUCAGUGGGGUCAAUAGGGUCAUAUGAGGUUAAUGGGGUCAAUGGGGUCAGUGGGGUUAAUGGGUUGUUGGUGUCAUAUGGGGUCAUGGGUAUCAUUAGGAUCUUUGGGAUCGGUGGGGUCAGUGGGGUUAUUCGGGGUCAUUGGGGUCAAUGGGGCCAUGUUGGAUCAUUGGGGUCAGUGGGGUCACUGGGUCAAAGGGGUCAAUGGGGUCAAUGGGAUCAGUGGGGUAAAUGGGUUGUUGGGGUCAUAUGGGGUCAUGGGUAUCAUUAGGAUCUUUGGGAUCGGUGGGGUCAGUGGGGUCAUGCGGGGUCAUUAUGGUUAAUGGG
ensembl:lncRNA